AACGAACGCUGGCGGCGUGGAUAAGACAUGCAAGUCGAACGGGACAGACCGAGUAGCAAUAUUUGGAAUGUUCAGUGGCGAACGGGUGCGUAACACGUGGAUAACAUUCCGGAAAGCGGGGAAUAGCCCAGGGAAACUUGGAUUAAUACCGCAUGUGGCCGCAAGGCUAAAGACGGGGACCGCAAGGCCUGUCACUUUCCGAUUGGUCCGCGGCCUAUCAGCUAGUUGGCGGGGUAAUGGCCCACCAAGGCUACGACGGGUAGCUGGGCUUAGAGGACGAUCAGCCACACUGGAACUGAGACACGGUACAGACACCUACGGGUGGCAGCAGUCGAGAAUCUUUCACAAUGGGGGCAACCCUGAUGGAGCGACGCCGCGUGGAGGAUAAGGUCUUCGGAUUGUAAACUCCUGUCAUGCGAGAACAAGGUACUCAGGCUAAUAACCUGAUUGUUUGAUGGUACCGCAAGAGGAAGAGACGGCUAACUCUGUGCCAGCAGCCGCAGUAACAC
rnacentral:rRNA from 1 species